GCUGGGCACGGUGGCGCACGCCUGUAAUCCCAGUGGCUUGGGAGGCUGAGACAGGAGGAUAACAGGUCAAAACCAGCCUCAGAAAAAGCGAGGUGCUAAACAACUCAGUGAGGCCCCCGUCUCUA
rnacentral:sRNA from 1 species